rnacentral:pre_miRNA from 1 species
UAAGUUUAAAUCAUUGUGAGUCUACAUUUUGAAAAUUGAACUCCCACAAAAUGGUGGGACAUACAUUAAUUUUAUCCAA